rnacentral:lncRNA from 1 species
CGCCUGAGAGGUGGUUGUGCGGUGCCAGGUAGGCACACACGCACUUUCUGAUUUGUUUUUAGCAAUUUGUGUAGCACAGCUGCAUUCAAACAAUGAGAGCCUCUUGAAUGUACAUGCAACUGAUGAUAUACUUUAUGUAUCUGAUGACAUGAUACAUUCUAUGAUCCAACUAACGCCCGAUGUGGUCAGCUCGUGCUAGAGAUGGCACCGGCGGUGGUGGGGGUCUUCUGUUGCGUGGUCUUCUCAGCAAGCGGCUUCCCUGCUUCUCCACCAACACCUUGUGUAGGUUGAACAGGGACAAGAUGUGGUUGUGCUUCCUCCUAACAAUCUCCAUCUUCCAGUUCUAAAACUUCUCCUCCAUCGCGAUCUUCUCGCCAACGGCCUUGGUCGCCGCCGCCACUACCGCUAGCGCGUCGUUCAGAGACCUUGUCAGCGGCCUUGCUGUCCAUCUCCUGCAGGACAUGCUCUUUCCACUACAUUCAGUCGGCGGUGUGUACAAGUCCUUCCUGUUCUUUAUGAUGGCCAUAGGUUGAACCGGCUGCAGCAUCUGUAGCCACCCGAGGCUGAUCAUUGGGUUUUUAAAUUAGUUUGGAGGUUCCUAGCCGUGGUCAUGCGGAUAAGCUCUAUGCUCACCGCAGAUGAUGUACUCUGGAGGUUCCUAGCCGUGGUCAUGCG